rnacentral:tRNA from 1 species
UCUGAUCUAGCAUAUAUACAAUGCAUUGGAUUGUAAAUCCUCGUAAAGCUAAUAGAGUUGGUCAGGU